AUAAAUCGUAUAUUAAAGUCCCUGCAGUUAAAAACUCGUAGUUGGACUCCGUGGUCACUGUUGCCUGUCAGUCAUUGGGCAGUUGGUUAUUGGUAUGCGGCCUCUGCUUGCGUGCCGUGAUCGGCUGUUCCAAGCUGGCGCGGUGGUGGUGUUACCUUUCAGCCAUGUCUGUGGUGAAAUACCCACAGGUGUAGGCGGGUGUCAGGCGGUGCCUUGCGACAGUAGGGCCCGUCGGCUCGUUUGCAUGCCUUUGGAUGCCCUUUAAAAGGUGUCUGCGGGCGGAUGGCACGUUUACUUUGAACAAAUUUGAGUGCUCAAACCAGGCCGAUGUUGCCUGAAAAGUUUUGCAUGGAAUAAUGGAAUAAGACUUCGGUUCUAUUUCGUUGGUUUCCGGAUCCAAAUAAUGAUCAAA
rnacentral:rRNA from 1 species